rnacentral:rRNA from 1 species
GGGUGAGUAACACGUGGGUAACCUGCCCUAAAGUCUGGGAUACCACUUGGAAACAGGUGCUAAUACCGGAUAACAACAAUAGCUGCAUGGCUAUUGCUUAAAAGGCGGCAAAAGCUGUCGCUAAAGGAUGGACCCGCGGUGCAUUAGCUAGUUGGUAAGGUAAUGGCUUACCAAGGCGACGAUGCAUAGCCGAGUUGAGAGACUGAUCGGCCACAUUGGGACUGAGACACGGCCCAAACUCCUACGGGAGGCAGCAGUAGGGAAUCUUCCACAAUGGGCGAAAGCCUGAUGGAGCAACGCCGCGUGAGUGAAGAAGGUUUUCGGAUCGUAAAGCUCUGUUGUUGGUGAAGAAGGAUAGAGGUAGUAACUGGCCCCUAUUUGACGGUAAUCAACCAGAAAGUCACGGCUAACUACGUGCCAGCAGCCGCGGUAAUACGUAGGUGGCAAGCGUUGUCCGGAUUUAUUGGGCGUAAAGCGAGCGCAGGCGGAAAGAUAAGUCUGAUGUGAAAGCCCCCGGCUUAACCGAGGAAUUGCAUCGGAAACUGUGUUUCUUGAGUGCAGAAGAGGAGAGUGGAACUCCAUGUGUAGCGGUGGAAUGCGUAGAUAUAUGGAAGAACACCAGUGGCGAAGGCGGCUCUCUGGUCUGUAACUGACGCUGAGGCUCGAAAGCAUGGGUAGCGAACAGGAUUAGAUACCCUGGUAGUCCAUGCCGUAAACGAUGAGUGCUAAGUGUUGGGA